GCCCCCCUCAGCCCUCUCGGCGGUAUCGCCACCAACUGACCCCAGCGGUACCCGGCGAAGCCUCUAGGAGCCCAUAUUGGCGGAAUACAUCCUCUUAAUUAACCCGCGGUGCCUUGGGGAAGCUUGGCUCCUCACACUGAGGAAAACUGUGACACCCGAGGCUCACCCCGACUUUGUAGUCCACAGGUCACACAGAAUGGAGUGACAGAAGGGUCAUUAAUUUAGAGGUUUACAGUCCUGAUACCAAGAACUACUGUUCUACAAGCUCAGUUUUGAAGAUUCCCUUAGAUUGAUGUCCUACAAGUUUCCAACCCUUGUCUUCAGCUACAGAAGACAAUAAAGAGGAAAGCUGUGCACCAUACGUACCCUAUGGAGGAAACUUCUGUGGCAGUGCAGCUUGCUGAUAGCAGCUUGCAGGGGAACAGAAGGAAGGGCAGAAGGCAGAGAUUCACUGGGCUGAAAUUGGACUGAUUGGUCCUGUGCCUUUCCAAAAUUAAAGAGUUUCACUCCCUCAGAAGUGAAUAAAAGCUUUGUACUGCAGCAGACCUGCUGUCCUCUUAAACUGUAGUGGGUUCAUUUUAUUACACAGAUUUUUAUUUUUUUACUAGAGCUAGAAGACACAGAACGUUUUCUAGAUUAGUUCUUUCCAUGUAGAGCUGGUAGGCUUACAGCUAAUGGAGCAAUGUGAGGAGCCAUGGAGUGGCUAAAGGAGGAACUUUUAGGUGUUUCUUAAGCAAGUUCUAAAGAAGUUUGCAAAGGCAGGCAAUCUAAUGGAAAAAAUGGCAAGAGUAUUGGGUUUUAUCUGGGUUUUUUUUUCAGUUGAUUUUGCAUCACACUAUUAUAAAAAAUGUAAAGAGUGUUCAAAAGUUUUCCAUCUGUUAUGGUUCUAACCAUUUCAGUGAGAUGUUUUGCAAAACUAAACACCAUGAUAAACCUGAGCUCCCUAUCAAUGUUUAGUAAUACAAAUAUGUGGGUAGCUAUUGCUUCAAUAACUCGUAGUUCAAAUGGCACUAUCUUGUUUUUUCAGCUAGAACCCCAGAAUGGGAGGCGAUCGCAGUGCAGUGUUUGAGGGACUGGCUGAUCUGCUGCUGAGCCAAGUCACCAGCUGGUGGCCACCAGCAGCCACAAGCUCCUGCUCUUUGCAUUGCUCACCUCCAUCUCCAGCCAGGGCGUUUUCAUGCUGAGUCCCUCUCAGCCUUAACCACCUUCCAACAACAGUCUCGUUUUUGUCCCAGCAAGUCACCAGAAAUGUCCUGCAUCUGCCACCUUCUAGAUUCAUGUCAUGCCCCACUAAUGUGGGUGAGAAGAAAACAACGGUGCAGUACGUCUUAGAGAUGCAUGGAGGAAGCCCAAGAAGAAAAGUGCUUGCCUGGACCUGUUGAGGCAACCUUGCUUUCUUUUUCGCAUCGUAUCUUUGUGGACUGAUCAUACACACUGAUGGUUUUACACUGAAAGUCUUAAUUAGCACUUCCCUUUUAACAGUUGGCCACAUGAUCCAAAGCACUGACACCCCGUGCACCUGGAUGAUGGCAUCUCUGUGUUCAAGAGCAGCACCAAGCACUUCAGCAGAGCUUUAUCUUUAGAUGUUUGUAAAACACUCCCUUAAAGUUGUUGUCCUUAAAUUCCCUGUCAGAGGGACCAGGUUUUUAUUUCAACGAAGGUUGGGAUCCUGUGAAAAACAAGAACAUAUGGUAGCAUAACCAGGAGCUAUGUCCUAAUACAAACAUGUUAGGGAAACAAGUUUAAGGUAGGAAAAUCGAUUCUGAUGUUUCUUAAUUGUUGAUUUUUAUCUCAGUUUUUAAUUUAAUGUGCUGUGUUCAUGUUCUGUUUGACUUAGGUGAGGCCUCAUUCUUGUGAGAAUUAAAAAUAUAGUGUUUCAGCUGCCCCUGGCUGAGCAGCUGUCACUGGUUUUCAGAUCACUCAUCUGAAGGGC